rnacentral:rRNA from 1 species
GAGUUUGNNCCUGGCUCAGAUUGAACGCUGGCGGCAGGCCUAACACAUGCAAGUCGAGCGGCAGCGGGAAGAUAGCUUGCUAUCUUCGCCGACGAGCGGCGGACGGGUGAGUAAUACCUGGGGAUCUGCCCAAUCGAGGGGGAUAACAGUUGGAAACGACUGCUAAUACCGCAUACGCCCUACGGGGGAAAGGAGGGGACCUUCGGGCCUUCCGCGAUUGGAUGAACCCAGGCGGGAUUAGCUAGUAGGUGAGGUAAUGGCUCACCUAGGCGACGAUCCCUAGCUGUUCUGAGAGGAUGGACAGCCACACUGGAACUGAGACACGGUCCAGACUCCUACGGGAGGCAGCAGUGGGGAAUAUUGGACAAUGGGGGAAACCCUGAUCCAGCCAUGCCGCGUGUGUGAAGAAGGCCUUCGGGUUGUAAAGCACUUUCAGUGGGGAGGAAAGGUUGAUGGUUAAUACCUAUCAGCUGUGACGUUACCCACAGAAGAAGCACCGGCUAACUCCGUGCCAGCAGCCGCGGUAAUACGGAGGGUGCAAGCGUUAAUCGNAAUUACUGGGCG